rnacentral:lncRNA from 1 species
UGAGUGACGGCAAACUAACGGAGUCGCACUCCGAAGCGGGGCUGAGACUCUCCGCAGGCCCCGAGGCGCAGCUCAGCUCGUACACGCAGUGCUGGCCUGGUCUAGGUUCCACGCCGCGGGCCGUCCGCACCCCCAGAUCGUAGUUUUGGCGGUCUGUCGCUUUCUGGACUACAUCUCCCAGAGGCCUCUAGGCCCAGUGAUCUCUCCCGCGGGAAUUCGACUUUCUCCGGGGAAGGGGGCGAGAUUUCCCCGCUCGGGGUGGCUAGUGGCUUCAGGGCUUUGUGGGUGCUCGAUUUGGCCUGCGCUGACCCGAGCUGAGCCAGCUGAACUUGAGGAGGCGGAGCUCUGCCCUGCUUGGAUAGAGGUUUCCAGAGAGGAGAGAAUGGCACUUGAACAUCCACAAGGCACCUUUAAGGUAGCUUGGCAUUUCCCCUUGUUCCCUGAAAUCCCCUUUUCUUUGCAAGACAUGACUUAUUUUCCUUCUUGAAAAUUCUUGCCCAUCUACGAAUUUCCCCUUUGAAAAAAUGUGAAUUCUCCAAAGUAUACCCCUUCCUGCCCCCCAAAACACUUGAUUUUCACUUAUUAAUUUGUCAAAUGGUUUAAUUAUUUUCUUUAUGAUCGUCUUUAAAAACAGUGUUUCUUUCUGAUUAUACAGGUAAAAAGACUAUUAUUAUAUUGAAAUAUUUCAAAAGUACAGAAAUCCCUAAUAACUAAAAUUCAAAUUUCCAGUUAACUUUUUAAUAUUUUCUUCCCAGUUUGAUGGGCUGUGAAAUAUGAUUUUAAAAUUAUUGCAUUCAUGCAGUAUUUUACCAUUUUAUAUGCUACAUUUUCAGUUAAAAUUACAUUUUAUUAUUUUUCUACCUAAUUUAAUAUUUGGAAACAUUUUUAUAGAUGCAGUUUAUUUGAAUACCUGUGGUGUGUUUUUUUUUCCUUCAAAUUAGAUACAGAAGUGGUAUAAAACACCCAAUGUACAGUUUAACAAUAAUUAUGAAGACCAAUGUAAGGAGUACCUAGGUCAAGAAACAGAAUAUAGCCAUUACCAAAGACACCCCCAAUGCACCCUUAAAAAAUAAAAAAUAAAUAUGCUCCUCUGAUAAUAACCACUGGUGGUCAUUUCUUUGCCUUUCAUUAGCAUUUCAGUACCUGUGUAUGAAUCCUCAAACAAUAUAGGUUUAGUUUCUGUCUGUUUUGUGUCUUUUUAUGAAUAGAAUCCUUUUCUUUUUUCAUUGUUGUAUAUUGCUAUAUAUGCUAUAUCAUUGUGUGAAUAUACCCCAACUUAUUUACCC